AUUGAACGCUGGCGGCAGGCCUAACACAUGCAAGUCGAGCGGAUGAAGGGAGCUUGCUCCUGGAUUCAGCGGCGGACGGGUGAGUAAUGCCUAGGAAUCUGCCUGGUAGUGGGGGAUAACGUCCGGAAACGGGCGCUAAUACCGCAUACGUCCUGAGGGAGAAAGUGGGGGAUCUUCGGACCUCACGCUAUCAGAUGAGCCUAGGUCGGAUUAGCUAGUUGGUGGGGUAAAGGCCUACCAAAGCGACGAUCCGUAACUGGUCUGAGAGGAUGAUCAGUCACACUGGAACUGAGACACGGUCCAGACUCCUACGGGAGGCAGCAGUGGGGAAUAUUGGACAAUGGGCGAAAGCCUGAUCCAGCCAUGCCGCGUGUGUGAAGAAGGUCUUCGGAUUGUAAAGCACUUUAAGUUGGGAGGAAGAGCAGUAAGUUAAUACCUUGCUGUUUUGACGUUACCAACAGAAUAAGCACCGGCUAACUUCGUG
rnacentral:rRNA from 1 species